GUAACAAGGUUUUCUGUAGCUGAACCUGCAGAAGGAUCAUUAGUGAAGAUUUGGGCAGGCCAUACGGACGCCAAAAAGUGUCCCUGGCCGCCUACACCCACUAUACAUCCACAAACCCGUGUGCACUGUCUUGGAGAAAGGCUUCAGAGAAGUUUUUUGUGGCCUCUCUUGGGGUCUUUCUUCGCUACAAACUCGAAUGGUUAGUAUGAACGUGGAACUUGGUUGGACUGUCACUGGCCAACAAACUAUACACAACUUUCGACAACGGAUCUCUUGGUUCUCCCAUCGAUGAAGAACGCAGCGAAACGCGAUAGGUAAUGUGAAUUGCAGAAUUCCGUGAAUCAUCGAAUCUUUGAACGCACCUUGCGCUCUAUGGCAAUCCGUAGAGCAUGCCUGUUUGAGUGCCAUGAAAUCUCCCACCCCAAGCGGUUUUUAAAUGAAACGGCUUGGCGGAUGGGGUCUGGAUGGGUGCCUCUGCCUGCGCUACCUAGCACAGGCUCGCCCGAAAUGCAUGAGCGCCUUGAGACACUUUGCAUCCGCCUCUCUGUUUGGGAGGAGGCGGCCAAGCAGUGUUUUUCUCGCUGGCAUGGCAUGAUACGUCAUUUGCUAUGUCGCCUAAAGGAGGAAUGUUUGGUUGUGUCUGCGUGUGCUUCGAACUUGCCUCUGUGGCACAUCCCAAUUUCACUUCUGGCCUCAAAUCAGGUAGGAUCACCCGCUGAACUUAAGCAUAUCA
rnacentral:rRNA from 1 species